AGAACGAACGCUGGCGGCAUGCCUAACACAUGCAAGUCGAACGUGAUCCAGGCUUCGGCCUGGUGAAAGUGGCAGACGGGUGAGUAACGCGUGGGAACCUGCCCUGUGGUAGGGAAUAACCGUGGGAAACUGCGGCUAAUACCCUAUGAGUCCUUCGGGAGAAAGAUUUAUCGCCAUAGGAGGGGCCCGCGUCGGAUUAGGUAGUUGGUGGGGUAACGGCCUACCAAGCCUUCGAUCCGUAGCUGGUCUGAGAGGAUGAUCAGCCACACUGGGACUGAGAUACGGCCCAGACUCCUACGGGAGGCAGCAGUGGGGAAUAUUGGACAAUGGGGGGCAACCCUGAUCCAGCAAUGCCGCGUGGAUGAUGAAGGCCUUCGGGUUGUAAAGUCCUUUCGGCGGGGAAGAUGAUGACGGUACCGCGAGAAGAAGCCCCGGCUAACUUCGCGCCAGCAGCCGC
rnacentral:rRNA from 1 species